GACGAACGCUGACGGCGUGCUUAACACAUGCAAGUCGAAGGGAGUGGCGAACGGGUGAGUAACACGUGCGUAACCUGCCCUUUUCUUUGGGAUAAGCCUGGGAAACUGGGACUAAUACUGGUUGGUUUGGGAUGGGCUCGCGGGUGAUCAGCUUGUUGGUGGGGUGAUGGCUUACCAAGGCUUUGACGGGUAGCCGGCCUGAGCGGGUGGGCGGUAACACGGGGACUGAGACACGGUCCAGACGCCUACGGAAGGCAGAAGUGGGGAAUAUUGCACAAUGGGCGCAAGCCUGAUGCAGCCAGGCCGCGUGUAUGAAGAGGGCCUUCGGGUUGUAAAGUACUUUCAUCGGGGAGGCGUUACCCGCAGAGGAAGCACCGGCUAACUCCGUGCCAGCAGCCGCGGUAAUUC
rnacentral:rRNA from 1 species